rnacentral:rRNA from 1 species
AGACGGAGGGGGCUAGCGUUGUUCGGAAUUACUGGGCGUAAAGCGCGCGUAGGCGGAUUGAUCAGUCAGAGGUGAAAUCCCAGGGCUCAACCCUGGAACUGCCUUUGAUACUGUCAGUCUUGAGUUCGAGAGAGGUGAGUGGAAUUCAGAGUGUAGAGGUGAAAUUCGUAGAUAUUCGGAGGAACACCAGUGGCGAAGGCGGCUCACUGGCUCGAUACUGACGCUGAGGUGCGAAAGCGUGGGGAGCAAACAGGAUUAGAAACCCUAGUAGUCC